AUUGAACGCUGGCGGCAGGCCUAACACAUGCAAGUCGAACGAGUGGCGGACGGGUGAGUAAUGUCUGGGAAACAGCCUGAUGGAGGGGGAUAACUACUGGAAACGGUAGCUAAUACCGCAUACCAUCGGAGGAGCCCAGAUGGGAGUAGUUAGUAGGUUGGGUAAAGGCUCACCUAGGAGACGAUCCCUAGCUGGUCUGAGAGGAUGACCAGCCACACUGGAACUGAGACACGGUCCAGACUCCUACGGUAGGCAGCAGUGGGGAAUAUUGCACAAUGGGCGCAAGCCUGAUGCAGCCAUGCCGCGUGUAUGAAGAAGGCCUUCGGGUUGUAAAGUAUUUUCAGCGAGGAGGCGUUACCCGCAGAAGAAGCACCGGCUAACGCCGUGCCAGCAGCCGCGGUAAUUC
rnacentral:rRNA from 1 species